GUGACUCAGCUGGUAGGGUGUUUGCUUAAUAUGCAAAAAGCCUUGAGUUUGAGUCUCAGC
rnacentral:tRNA from 1 species